rnacentral:rRNA from 1 species
CAGCAGCCACGGGAACACGGAGGGUGCAAGCGUUAUCCGGAUUUAUUGGGUUUAAAGGGUCCGUAGGCGGAUCUGUAAGUCAGUGGUGAAAUCUCACAGCUUAACUGUGAAACUGCCAUUGAUACUGCAGGUCUUGAGUAAAUUUGAAGUGGCUGGAAUAAGUAGUGUAGCGGUGAAAUGCAUAGAUAUUACUUAGAACACCAAUUGCGAAGGCAGGUCACUAAGAUUUAACUGACGCUGAUGGACGAAAGCGUGGGGAGCGAACAGGAUUAGAUACCCCAGUAGUCCCUGUCUCUUAUAU